UUAAGUGAACAAGGGCAUACGGCGGAUGCCUUGGCGCCAAGAGCCGAUGAAGGACGCGGUAAGCUGCGAAAAGGCAUGGGUAGGAGCAAGCAUCCUGUGAUCCAUGCAUAUCCGAAUGGGGCAACCCACCAUCAGUCAUGUGAUGGUACGAAAGAGGCAGACCUGGGGAACUGAAACAUCUAAGUACCCAGAGGAAAAGUAAUCAAUUGAGAUUCCCUAAGUAGCGGCGAGCGAAAGGGGAAGAGCCCAAACCAGAUAACUUCGGUUGUCUGGGGUUGAGGACCGGCAAAAAGAGGAAACUUCUUAGUCGAAUGGUUUGGAAAGGCCAUGCACAGAAGGUAAAACACCUGUAGGCGAAAAGAAGUCAAUCGGGCUGGUAUCCAGAGUACUGCGAGACACGUGAAACCUUGCAGGAAGCAGGGGGGACCACCCUCCAAGGCAAAAUACUACUUGGCGACCGAUAGCGCAUAGUACCGUGAGGGAAAGGUGAAAAGAACCCCGGGAGGGGAGUGAAAUAGAACCUGAAACCGUAUGUCUACAAGCAGUCGAAGCACCUUAAGAGUGCGACGGCGUGCCUAUUGAAGAAUGAACCGGCGAGUUACAUUAUGUUGCGAGGUUAAGUGGGAGACACGGAGCCGAAGCGAAAGCGAGUCUUAAUAGGGCGACUAGUAACAUGGUGUAGACCCGAAACCGCAGUGAUCUAUCCAUGGUCAGGUUGAAGCGCAGGUAAAAAUGCGUGGAGGACCGAACCCGUGAGUGUUGAAAAACUUUGGGAUGAACCGUGGAUAGGGGUGAAAUGCCAAUCGAACGCGGAGAUAGCUGGUACUCCCCGAAAUAGCUUUAGGGCUAGCCUCAGGGAAGAUUAUAGACGGUAGAGCACUGAUCUGGCAAGGGGGCGUAAAGCCUACCGACCCUAGUCAAACUUCGAAUGGCUAUAAUUAAGACCCUGGGAGUCAGACUGCGAGUGAUAAGACCCGUAGUCAAGAGGGAAACAGCCCAGACCGCCGACUAAGGUCCCCAAUGCUGUACUAAGUGGAAAAGGAUGUAAGACUUCAUAAACAACCAGGAUGUUGGCUUAGAAGCAGCCACCAUUAAAAGAGUGCGUAAUAGCUCACUGGUCGAGAGGCCUUGCGCCGAAGAUGUCCGGGGCUCAAGUACAGAACCGAAGUCGCGGCAGGAUUAUAUAAUUCUGGGUAGGGGAGCGUUGUAUAUCCGACUGAAGGUGUACCGGAAGGAGCGCUGGAGGAUAUACAAGAGAGAAUGCCGGUAUGAGUAGCGAAAAGAACAGUGAGAAUCUGUUCCACCGAAAGCCUAAGGUUUCCUGAGCAACGCUCGUCGACUCAGGGUAAGUCGGGACCUAAGCCGAGGCAAAAAGCAUAGGCGAUGGACAACAGGUUAAUAUUCCUGUACCGCUUCAAAUCGUUUGAGCAAUGGAGUGACACAGAAGGUAGCUUGAGCACGCGAAUGGAUGUGCGUGUCGAAGGUGGUAGAUUGCAGUAUAGGCAAAUCCGUACUGUAUAAGAUCGAGAACUGAUAGAUAGACGAUACUUCGGUAAAGUCAAAUUCAAGUGAGCCAUGCUGUCGAGAAAAGCUUCUAGUGAGAGAUGAGGCGCCCGUACCGAAACCGACACAGGUAGGCGGGGAGAGAAUCCUAAGGUGCGCGGGACAACCCUCGUUAAGGAACUCGGCAAAUUGUAUCCGUAACUUAGGGAUAAGGAUAGCCGGAGGAUGUGAAGGGAUUUACUUCUGGAGCGUCAGCCGGUGGCACAAGAGAGGCCCAAGCGACUGUUUAGCACAAACACAGGUGCCUGCAAAAGAGAAAUCUGACGUAUAGGUGCUGACACCUGCCCGGUGCUGGAAGGUUAAGAGGAGGGCUUAGAGGCAACUCGAAGGCUUGAAUUGAAGCCCCAGUAAACGGCGGCCGUAACUAUAACGGUCCUAAGGUAGCGAAAUUCCUUGUC
rnacentral:rRNA from 1 species